AGUGAACGCUGGCGGCAGGCCUAACACAUGCAAGUCGAACGGCAGCACAGUAAGUGCCAGCUCUUACCGGUGGCGGGUGGCGGGCGGGUGAGAUCUAAAUAGGUACCUUAUUUUUCGUGGGGGAUAACGAAGGGAAACUAAUACUACUUACGCAUCACACCUAAGGGCGAAAGAAGUGCAGCUCCCGAGCUUGCGCGUUUGACUGAGGCGAUGUCGGAUUAGCUAGUUGGCGGGGUAAAGGCCUACCAAGGCGACGAUCCGUAGCUGGUCUGAGAGGAUGAUCAGCCACACUGGAACUGAGACACGGUCCAGACUCCUACGGGAGGCAGCAGUGGGGAAUUUUGGACAAUGGGCGCAAGCCUGAUCCAGCAAUGCCGCGUGUGUGAAGAAGGCCUUCGGGUUGUAAAGCCCUUUUGUUGGGAAAGAAAAGCUGCGGGUUAAUACCCCGCUGUUCUGACGGUACCCAAAGAAUAAGCACCGGCUAACUACGUG
rnacentral:rRNA from 1 species